rnacentral:rRNA from 1 species
AUACGUAGGGGGCAAGCGUUGUCCGGAUUCAUUGGGCGUAAAGAGCGUGUAGGCGGCCAGGUAGGUCGGUUGUGAAAACUGGAGGCUCAACCUUCAGAGGUCGACCGAAACCAUCUGGCUAGAGUCCGGGAGAGGAGAGUGGAAUUCCUGGUGUAGCGGUGAAAUGCGCAGAUAUCAGGAAGAACACCCGUGGCGAAAGCGGCUCUCUGGAACGGUACUGACGCUGAGACGCGAAAGCGUGGGGAGCGAACAGGAUUAGAUACCCUGGUAGUCCACGCCGUAAACGAUGGGCGCUAGGUGUGGGAGGUGUCGACUCCUUCCGUGCCGAAGCUAACGCAUUAAGCGCCCCGCCUGGGGAGUACGGCCGCAAGGCUAAA